UACAGAGGGUGCAAGCGUUGUUCGGAAUUACUGGGCGUAAAGCGCGUGUAGGCGGCGUCGUUAGUCGGAUGUGAAAGCCCUCGGCUCAACCGAGGAAGUGCAUCCGAUACUGCGAUGCUUGAGUGUUGGAGGGGGUGGCGGAAUUCCCGGUGUAGAGGUGAAAUUCGUAGAUAUCGGGAGGAACACCUGUGGCGAAGGCGGCCACCUGGACAACAACUGACGCGAGACGCAAGCGUGGAGC
rnacentral:rRNA from 1 species